rnacentral:lncRNA from 1 species
UAAACCAUAGCAGUGGCAUCCUUUGAACUCACGGAUCCAGUCAUAACUGAAGUUCCAUCUACACCUGGGGUCUUCAGACCCAGGCUCUGGAAAAGAUCCUGUUACUUACAAGCAAAAGAAAUUCUGCCUCUUACCCUCAGCAUGUGAGUACUCAGAAGACAGCCGUCUGCAACUCAGAAAGAAGUCUCACCAAAAACUGAAGCCUACCAGGACCUUGAUCUUGGACUUCCCUGCCAGCUAGAACUCUCCUGAGUGCCAGAGGGAGUGGGAGAAGAUCCAGCAGCAGCCUGUCUGUGGCACAGAGAGCCUGGACUCUGGUUACACCAUCUCCCCUUAUGCCUUCAGCCCUCCUGCUGCAGCUAAUCUCUGCAUGAGCUCAUCUAUCCCUUCUGCUCCUCCAGUGUUUUCAUUUUGUAACCAAUCUCCUCUAUUAAAUUCUCUGAAAUACCUACAGUUGUUCCUACGUUUCUGACUAGACAUCAACCAAAUGGUCUCACUCAGUAGGUGACAUCUGAGUAGAGACCUAAAGAAAGAGGAAUAGGCCAGGCGUGGUGGCUCAAGCCUGUAAUCCCAGCACUUUGGGAGGCUGAGGUGGGCGGAUCUUGAGGUCAGGAGAUCAAGACCAUCCUGGCUAACACAGUGAAACCCUGUCUCUACUAAAAAUACAAAAAAAAUUAGCCAGGCAUGGUGGCGGACGCCUGUAGUCCCAGCUACUCGGCAGGCUGAGGUGGGAAAAUGGCGUGAACCCAGGAGGUGGAGCUUGCAGUGAGCGGAUAUCGCGCCACUGCACUCCAGCCUGGGCGACAGAGUGAGACUCUGUCUCAAAGAAAAAAAAGAAAAAAGAAAAAGGAAUAAGGUUUGUGACUAUCUGCGGGGGAAAGCAUUCCAAACAGAAAAAAAAAAAGAGCAAGUGCCAAGGACCUGAAGAAGAGCAUGUCUGUUGUGCUAGGGAAGCAACAGGGAGGCCAGAAGAGUUGAGGCAGAGCAGGGAAAGAAGAGGGGGUAGAAGAUUAGAUCAGAAAGAGCCAGAUCAUGAAAGCCUCAUGGGCCACUGAGAUGGCUCUAUUGCCCUCCAAAAGUCUAAGCAUCCUCUACUGAAUAUGUGAAAAUGACAAAAUAAACUGGGAGUUGUCAGAACUCCAAAGGAAUAUUAGGGUCCAAUGUAGGCCUGUUCCCACAUUAUGAAGAUAAAGAAACAAUGGGAUCUAUGAUUUAGAGCAAGGGUUGGUAAAUGAUGACCCAUAACCUAAAUCCAGCCCACCACCUGUUUCUGUAGAUAAAGUUUUUCUGACACUUAACCACAGCCAUUCACUUACAUAUUGCAUAUGGUGGCUUUUGCAUUACAAUGAUAGGGUUAAGUAGUUGCAGCACAGACCAUAUGGCCCACAAAUGCUAAAAUAUUUCCUCCCUGUCUCUUUAUUAAAAAAAGUCUGUUCACCAUUAUUUAGAGAGUUAGUUAUCUCAGUAAUGAAAAGGAGCUGAGUUCAGAAUAGGAAAGUCAUCUUACAUGGCUAAUGAAAAACGCUGUAGCCCUUACCUACGUAUGUAGUCCUGGUAUGAGAGAGUACAAAGAUGAGAAGACAGAAACUUCCAAGCAUCACCACGUUUUUCACUUCAAAGUAGUCUGGAUAUUGUCAGGUACAUAUCACUGAGUAUCAGGUGGUGAUUGGGACAAUAAAGAGAGACAUUUAAAUUGGCCAGUGACACGAGCUCUUCAGCAAGAUGACACUUGCUUAGAAGUUAUCAGAACAAAACAGAAGCUGAUGUCCAGGACAUAGUGAAAAUUUAGAAAAGCUGGACAAGAGAAGCCUUCACAGCCUUUGGAAAGACAAUUCGAAUCCUAAACCCUGGGGCAAGGAGAGGGAAGAUUGCAUGCCCAGGUCUCACUCUGUCCUCCCCACUAUACCUUCACGAAAUGAGAACCCUUCCCUUCUUCAUCUUUCUUUCCUCUGCUUAGGUUCCACCCCACUCUGAGCACUGAGGUAGAAUAGCAAAAUUCACCUUUAAAUAUGGAAAUUCAGCUCCUCAUUUUGUUAAAAUUAUACAGAACCAGAGACUAACAUUUGCAUUUCACAGUCUCCAGAUUCUCACAGACCUUGAUGAGCCAAGAGGCAGUUAACACCAGUAUUCCUGGGUAAACUGGCUUUUCUAUUGGCAAAUAAAUCUUUUUAUAUUAAGGUGAAACAAUAAUAAUCAUUUUAAACAAUCAUGUGGAGUGUGAUUACAAAAUAGCUCAUUUGGAAAGAACAUUAUCAGCUUAUGAGAUCCUCAGAGAUUCUAAAACGGAAGGUGCUACGAAUAAAACCAACUGUUAUGGGGCUUUGUCAUUUCCACAGCACAUGAAGGCAAAAUUCACACUUUAAUACUGUAAUGAGAAAACAAUGCAAAUUCUGAUUAAGUAAAAAGUGAAAGUACUUGUUACAGCCAAGCCUAGCAUCUCUCUUAUCCUUGCUGGCAUUACAGAGGAAUCAAGGGGGGAAUCUUCUAACCUUCUAAGGCGCCUCAGGUACCAUUCAGGUCUGCAUACUCAAAUUCAAAGCAUUCAUCCUUUGGCGGCUGGGUAAUAGGAGGGGUUUGCCAGCAAAUGCAAACAAUUAUACCUUGCAAUACUCCACUCACUUGCUAUUUACCCAAGGUUUCCUGUAAGCAGAAUCCCAUCUGGCCCAGCUUAAGUCAUGCUGACCUCGUUUCGAUGGCAUGUUUUCCAUAGCAGUAUAACCCCACUCACUUGGGCUUGUUGGUAAAAUGUCAAGCCUGUGUUACACACAGAAGGGUCAAGAAAAUUGAGUAUUUUUCCUAAGAUAUCUCUGUAUUACUUCCAAGUACUAUAGUAACUCCUAGAACAUGAAAAAAAAAUAAAACUAGCACUCAUUUAUUUGACAAAGGGUAAUUGAACCCCAUUCUGUACCAAAUGCUGUCCAGGUGCUGAAGCUGCAACUGAGAUUUUUUUCUUCGUGGAACUUUGUAUCCAACAGAGAUGGGAAAAAUGAGCAAUCAUCAGAUUUAUGGUCUUCUGUGAAGAUGGCACGAAACCUGUCUCCUCCUGAGCAUGGCAACCAUCCCCCUUAAUCUUAUUUACACAAGGGCAAAUAUUAUUUACCCUUCUUUCAUAGAAAAAAUUAAAGGUAGUUUUGAGCAAAGCCAUUAUCCAAAUCAUGAAAUCUUGAAAUCAAACGAAUGCAAUUUAAUUCCUAAUUGCAAUGGUAAAGACUUUAUUAACUUCCUGAGCUAUCCAUGCAUACUUUUUCAGUUCAUGUUGGUGUUUUCCUAUUGCCACACACAUCAAGCUUGCUUCUCCCAAAAACAGAAAUUGUAGCUGCUUGGAGAAUAUAUUCUCAUUCUAAUCAGACAUUUACAUCUUUAUUUUCUCAUCUUCUGCUCCCUUCUAUCCCACUACAAUCUGGCUCCUGCCUCCAUCUUGCUGUGUGACUCUUUCUAAGUUUAUUAAUGACUUCCCCAUUGCUAACUUCAACAGACCUGCUUCAUGCCUCAGCUGACUUAGCUCUCUGGUGCAUUCAAUAUAGCUUACCAUCUGCUUUCAUGGCACUGCAUUCUUGCAGUUUUCCUCUUUCCUUCUUGGCCUCCUUUGCCCACUAAUUCCCUCUAAAAUGUUGAUAGUCCUCAAAGAUGUCUCUACAAUCUCUUCUCCCAGUUUCAUACCCUUCACUUAACUACCAUCUCUAUGCCAAUAACCUGCAAAGUGAUGUGUCCGACUCAUAGCUCUCUUCUGAGCUAAAAAACAAUAUGCUCAACUCUCUACUUGAUUUUUCCCCUUGGUUAUAUCACAAGUACCUCAAAAUCAACAUAUGUAAAACUAAAUUCUUGAUCUUAUGCCCAAACCCAUUUUUCUUCAAAGUCUUCUGUCUCUAUGAAUGGCAUAAUCAGUUUUUGCAAACCAGGUCAGAGACAGUCUUCCUCCUUCCUUACUCGUGACACCCUAAACAAUGUCGAGAACCAUUGAUUCUUCUUUCUAAAUAACUCCAGGGCAAAGCUCUCCAAAUCCACUACCACCACUAUAAUCCAAGCCAAGAUUUUCUUUUUCAUGGACCACUGCAAGCUCCAUCUUCCAUUUUUAUCCCUUUUUGAUGGAUUCUGCACAUUAUAGCCAGGGUAAUCUUUUAAAACACAAACUCAAUAAUGUUGCUCUCCUGCUUCAAGCUUUUCAAUUACUCUCAAUUAGUCUUAGAAUAAAAUCCAAACUCUUAACCUGGCCAUGCCAAUAAGGCAUCUGCCCUUUUUCUUCACUGUUCAGCCAAACUGACCUUUCAUUUCCUCAAAUCGGUCAUACAUCUUCCAAAGGACCAUCUUCCAUUUUCCACAUGACCUAAGGUCCCUUGCACGUACUGUUCCCAUCACACAGACUGCUCUUCCCACUCCUUUCAAAUUUCAAUUUAAAUACAAUUUCUUCUCAAAUAAAUACUCACUGAUUCCCAAACUGUAAGCACCCCCUUCUUCCAAGCAUAGAAGAUCUCAUUGUGCUUUUCCUUUUUAACUGUUAUAACAAUUAUAAUAAAAGGAUAGAUGCAUGUUUCACAUGCAAGAAUGUCAAAUCCAUGAGGGCACAUAAAAACGUGACAAGCACAUUUCAAAUAAUGAGUCAGUCAGUGAAUUAACGACUACAAGAAUGUCAAGAACUUCCUAUAUGUGGGGUAUGGCAACCUAUGACUAACAGCCCAAAUACCACAUGCCUAGUGGUUUGGUGAGAUCUCUCUGCAUUUUCUAUCAAAUACAGGAGAAAAAAUGUUGCUUUGUCUUCACAAGCAGGUAAGCAACAGGAGAAGAUGCAUGUUUUCAGUUAAUUCAUGCUCAAAUUUAAUUACUUUAUCAAUUAAGUGUUUUCUCCCAGCCCUCUUUAUCUUCUCUCCAUGACAUAAGCAGCCAAGAACUCAAUGAGAAAAAAGCAUCCUGUUACAUCAGACCCAGUCCUGGUUGGCUUAAAACAGUCUCCAUCUAUCCCAUCUCAGCUCACCUUUAUAUCUCAUCUACUCUACAAGUGUAUACCAAAAAUGUUUAAAAAUCCAACUGUUGAUAUCAACCUUGACUCCAUUCUGUUUCAUCUGCUUUGACCUCCCUUAUUAGUUCAUUUUCAUACUACUAUAAAGAUACUAUGUGAGACUGGGUAAUUUAUAAAGGAAAGAGGUUUAAUUCAGCCACAGUUCCGCAUGUCUGGGGAGGCCUCAGGAAACUUACAAUCAUGGCAGAAGGUAAAGGCGAAACAAGGAAAUUCUUCACAUGGUGGCAGGAGAGAGAAAGAGGGGGAAAUGCCACACUUUUAGACCAUCGGAGCUCAUGAAAACUCACUCACUGUCACAAGAACAGCAUGGGGUAAACCUCCCCCAUAAUCCAAUCACCUUCCACCAGUUUCUUCCCUCAGCACUUGGGGAUUAAAUUCAAGAUAAGAUUUGAGUGGGUACACAGCGCCAAACCAUAUCACCUCCUAUCUCUGUUCUUACAUUUUUCAGAUCUCCAACUCCUGAUCUGCCCUCAGUAACUCACUAUCCAUCUUCAGUGUCCUACUGUAUCAGACCCCUUGCUCCAGUGAGUCAGGUAGCUAUUUCUGUGUAGCAAAUGAGUUCAUAUUCAAGUGGCUUACAACAAAAAAACACUUAGUAUGUCUGAAGUGUCUGAAGGUUGGCUGGAGUAAAUUGAUUUACAUUUAAUUCAGCCAGAGGCAGCUGUGUUCCGCACGCCUCUCACCCUCCUGCUGAGACCAGUAGGCUCACCUGAGCAUGUUGUUCUCACAACAAAGGUAAAAAUGCAGGAGGUUGAGGUCCCACUGCACGAGUCCAAGUUGAAACUCUGCUCAUGUUAUAUGCUAACAUCCCAUAGGCUAAAGCCAGUUACAGCCAAGCCCAAAGUCAAGGAGUAGAACUGCCACUAUUCCACUGCAAAGCUGCAGAGAAAAGGGUAUGGAUGCAGAAAGGGUUGAAAAUUAGCCUAAGGCUUCAAUCUACCACGUUAAAGACAAUCCUCGUGUUGCACAUGCAGCAUAGGUCAGAGACACUCUAGUAUCCCUCUCUCUCUGUACUCCCUUAGGCCCCUUAGCUGGCUCGGCUUCCUGGCUGGUCUCAUCUUCAGAAAGAAUAGACAAUAUGUCCAUGAUGACUAUUUGAUAAUAAAAUCCGAAGAUAUUGGCAAGAUUUUGGAUGUUCUACUUUAAAUAUUUUCUAAGCUGAGUUGUUAUCUCUUGACAGAGUGGAAUUUACUUUGAAAGAAAACUCGAAUAAUAUGAGGGUUUUGUGCUAUUUUGGUAUUAUUUAUGCCCUUGUUAUGCAAAGUGUGGUCUAUGGACCAGGAGGAUGGGCAAUCGCUUGUGAACCUGUUAGAAAUACAGAUUCCCAGGACACACUCCAGACCUACUGAAUCAAAACCUGCCUUUUGACAAGAUCCGCAGGCGAUUUAUAUGCAUGUGAAAGAUUGAGAAAUACUAGACUGUACCAAGAUUCUUUUAAUCAGGGAAAUGCCAAUAGGUAACUUUGAAAAUGAUGAUGACUGAAAGACUAUAUGACCAGUCUUUAUAGAGGUAGAAACGGACAACAAAUAGCAACGUUGCUGUUGCCAUUAGGUUAUUAGACUCAGAGCUUUGGCUUUCAAAAUCUCCCCUGGGAAGGUGGACAGUGCAUUCCUCAGUGAACAGUCUAUUUCUUUUGAAAUCAUAAAAUUUCAAACAAAUUACAAGAAAGGUCAGGCUGAAAAUUAAAGCUAUAAUUUUAUUGGGUGACUCCUUUCUGGAAGACAAAGCUGUUUUCCUUCACUACAUUGCUUUUAUUGAAUUUCUGGUUCAUUUAAAAGGGAAAAAAAAUAAAAGGUAUACACAUAAUGAAUGGGCAUAUACAGUCUGGUUGAGUAAAAGAAAAAGUAUAAAAGAUUCUUAUUAAUUGGCAAAUUAUAAUGGAUGACGAAAAUAACUGUAAUUGUGUAGAAAAGACAAGCAUCCAAGCAAUUUUCUUAUUAGGAAUAAUGUAGGCAGGAAAUGUGAAAAAGGAAGUGCACUUUCAAAUUCUACUUAUCAGGGGAAAAUAUGCUAAAUGUAAUCUGGACAACGGCAAUAUAUACAGUAAAAUAAAUGUUAACAGUUUCCUUGUGCCCCUUGAAAUUCAUCCCUCCCUCCACUGCUGUACCAGGCAAUCACUUACCUGCUUUCUGACAUUAAAGAUUAACUUACAUUUUUUAGAAUGUUGUAUAAAUGAAAUCAUAUGUUAUGUACCCCUUUUUUGGCCCAGCCUGUUUUACUCAGAAUAAUGAUUUUGAGAGUCAUUCAUGUUGUGUGUGUACCCACAGUUGAUUCUUUUUGAUUGCUAGGUAGUUUUUCAUUGUAUGAGUAUAACAUCAUUUGUUAAUGGAUAUCUGGGUCAUUUCUAUCCAGGCUAUUAGAAAUAAAAUUGGCAUGAGAAUGUGGAUAUAAGUCUUCACAUGGACAUAUGUUCUUAUUUUUCUUGUAUAAAUACCUAGGAAUGGAAUGACUGGCUCAUACAACAGGUGUUUGUUUAACUCUUUUAAAAAACACUGUCAAGCUUUUGCUAAAGUGGCUGUACAUUUUAUAUUCCCACCAGCAGUGUGUGAGAGCUCUGAUUCCUGCCAUCCUCAUCAACACUUGGUGUCGUCAAUCUUUUUAAUGUUAGCUAUUUUAAUGGUUCUGUAGUAUCAUCACCCUAUGCCCUAUGUUUUUCAUUUGCAUUUCCCUAAGGAAUAAUUAUUCUGCCCAUCUUUUCAUGUCCUUAUUGCCCAUUGGUAUAUUUCUUUCUGAAAUGUCUGCUCAAAUAUUUAGCCCACUUUUACUGGGAUAUUUUGCUUCUUCUUAUUCGGUUGUACAAGUUCUUUACAUUACAGAUACAUGUUCUUUGUCAGAUACAUGGUAUAAGAAAAGACUUAAGGUCCUUUCUGGUUGUCACAUUUUAAUAUUCUGUGAUUUGGGUAUAAUCCUGAGUAUUCAGAUACCUGUAUUUAUAGAGUUAACUAGUGGAAUAAAUAUUUUAUUUUUCAAGCAACUAUUUGCACUUUAUGCAGAUGUAAUCCAAUCAAAAUGAAUACAUAGAAUGUAAAGGAUUCCAGAGGCCUUUGUUUAUUUAUUUUGUUUCUUAGGACCACCGUGGUUUAAAAUGUAGAGUGUGGCUUUAGCCAAUUAACAGCAACUUUUGUCCAUUGCCCAGCAGCUGUAGAAGAGAUGAGACUUAUUCUGAAAAAGGAGAAAAGGCAAAAAUCAUAAAAAAGGGAAUCUUUUCUUAUUUAGGGGCCCAAACAAGUACAUGCCCCAAAAGGCCAGAGGAGCUACCUGAAUAGCCUGAUAGGCAAAGAGCAUCAUGAAGGGGAUUUGUGAGAGAUCCCAGACAUAAAAUAAAAGCAGGUCUCCCAGGGAGAUCAAAUGGAUGGGCUCGGUUCCUGGUCAAUGUGGCCCCGGGAGCCAGCAAGAACAGAGAGAUGGCCAGAAAAUGCCAGCAUCUCCGGAUUCAUGCAGCUAAGACCAGUGUCCCUUGGGACACCAGGGCCUGUGAUGCCUCUUUAAGUACUGGGACUAUGUCCAGCACCAUUCUGUAGCUUGAGGCCAAAGAAGGAGCCAAGAUAGGAAUCCUGCCUCCAAGCAGCUCACACUCUAGGGAAGGCAAAUAACUACAAAAGAAGGUGUCGCCUAGGAAAAGAAUCCAAGGGCAGCUCAGGGAUGUGGUGCAGGUCAGCAUGACCCAAUCCCUGGACCAACUGGAGGCUUCAGAGCUCAGCACCACUGAGCAGAGUAGAGCAAAGUCCACUCAAUCUGUGAUGCACCAUGGCUUUUCUGCCAACCCAUAGCAGAUGUCCUUCUUAAGUGGAAGACUCAAAGCAGCAGACUAUGAGAAAGACUCAAGGACAGAACCACAAAACACCAUGAUGCCAGCAAUCCUGAUGGUAUUAGUUAGGGCAGAAAGCCUCACAUUUCAGAAAAUGAACUUAAACUGCAGAGAGACAUAAGCCCCAAGCUGUCUUCCAGUGAUUAGGCUGUUUCUUGACAUAAAGGUCCUGUCACAAAUGAAAGCUUGGCAAAUCAAAGGUAGAACCUAAGAAAAGAAUGACCCCAAAGAGCCCAGAGUCAGAGAUGGUACUUUGCCUCUAGCCACCGCCCUUGACUAAAAGAGUGUGCUUGUCCCAAGCAAGAAGGUCUUUUUUUUUUUUUAAAUAAUUGCUGUAAUUAAUUAAACAUACACCUAAGUUCACUGUUUGGUAAGACUCCAUAAAAAAUUGUUUAGAUUCUUCUUACACCAUUCCUUUAUGUGUUUUCCCAUUAAAAAAUCAUAUUCAAGUGUUGAUAAGGUAAAAAUACCUAGAUAUGUCUGAUUGAUUGCAUCAUUUGGAAACAGCAGAAUGUAUUGAAAGACAUCUGGUAGCUCAGAGUCUGCAGUGGUUGAGAGGCUGUGCAGCAACCACACUUCUGAACUGCGCCAGCAGAGGUCCCACUGCUCCUGGGACUCAGACACUGCAGCUCAGUCCACAGUCAGGCCUCAAACACCAAGAAUCUCCCCUACACCUGCCUCCAAAAGCCGAAUGCCUCUACCACCACUAUUGCCAGUAAAUGGACUUCGUGCUCUGCUGCUUCCUCUGGUCACUUCACAUCAAAAUCUCCUCUGUGUGUGCAUCUUAUUGGUGGGGAGCCUAAGCCAUAUGACUGCAUCCGCAAGAGAGGCUAGGAAAAUGUACGACCGGCUCCCACCUUGGGUGGAAAAGAGUCCUAUUAUGGGAAAUUAUCCAAACAGAAAGGCUUUUCAGAAAAUCCUGUAUGUCCACGAAACAUAAUAAAUGAUUCUCAC